CAAGUCGAACGAGCGAGAGAGAGCUUGCUUUCUCGAGCGAGUGGCGAACGGGUGAGUAACGCGUGAGGAACUUGCCUCAAAGAGGGGGACAACAGUUGGAAACGACUGCUAAUACCGCAUAAGCCCACGGGUCGGCAUCGACCAGGGGGAAAAGGAGCAAUCCGCUUUGAGAUGGCCUCGCGUCCGAUUAGCUAGUUGGUGAGGUAACGGCCCACCAAGGCGACGAUCGGUAGCCGGACUGAGAGGUUGAACGGCCACAUUGGGACUGAGACACGGCCCAGACUCCUACGGGAGGCAGCAGUGGGGAAUAUUGCACAAUGGGGGAAACCCUGAUGCAGCGACGCCGCGUGGAGGAAGAAGGUCUUCGGAUUGUAAACUCCUGUUGUUGGGGAAGAUAAUGACGGUACCCAACAAGGAAGUGACGGCUAACUACGUGCCAGCAGCCGCGGUAAAACGUAGGUCACAAGCGUUGUCCGGAAUUACUGGGUGUAAAGGGAGCGCAGGCGGGAAGACAAGUUGGAAGUGAAAUCUAUGGGCUCAACCCAUAAACUGCUUUCAAAACUGUUUUUCUUGAGUAGUGCAGAGGUAGGCGGAAUUCCCGG
rnacentral:rRNA from 1 species